rnacentral:rRNA from 1 species
UAGGGAAUCUUCCGCAAUGGGCGAAAGCCUGACGGAGCAACGCCGCGUGAGUGAUGAAGGUCUUCGGAUCGUAAAACUCUGUUAUUAGGGAAGAACAAAUGUGUAAGUAACUAUGCACGUCUUGACGGUACCUAAUCAGAAAGCCACGGCUAACUACGUGCCAGCAGCCGCGGUAAUACGUAGGUGGCAAGCGUUAUCCGGAAUUAUUGGGCGUAAAGCGCGCGUAGGCGGUUUUUUAAGUCUGAUGUGAAAGCCCACGGCUCAACCGUGGAGGGUCAUUGGAAACUGGAAAACUUGAGUAGUGGAGAGGAAAGUGGAAUUCCUAGUGUAGUGGUGAAAUACGUAGAUAUUAGGAGGAAUACCAGUAGCGAAGGCGACUUUCUGGACACAAACUGACGCUGAGGUACGAAAGCGUGGGGAGCAAACAGG